rnacentral:tRNA from 1 species
UGGUGCGUAGCUCAAUUGGAUAGAGCGUCAGAACGGCUUUGAAGGUUGGGGGUUAGACUCCUCCCGAGCUCACCCA